rnacentral:rRNA from 1 species
GACGAACGCUGGCGGCGUGCCUAAUACAUGCAAGUAGAACGCUGAAGGAGGAGCUUGCUUCUCUGGAUGAGUUGCGAACGGGUGAGUAACGCGUAGGUAACCUGCCUGGUAGCGGGGGAUAACUAUUGGAAACGAUAGCUAAUACCGCAUAAGAGUAGAUGUUGCAUGACAUUUGCUUAAAAGGUGCAAUUGCAUCACUACCAGAUGGACCUGCGUUGUAUUAGCUAGUUGGUGGGGUAACGGCUCACCAAGGCGACGAUACAUAGCCGACCUGAGAGGGUGAUCGGCCACACUGGGACUGAGACACGGCCCAGACUCCUACGGGAGGCAGCAGUAGGGAAUCUUCGGCAAUGGACGGAAGUCUGACCGAGCAACGCCGCGUGAGUGAAGAAGGUAUUCGGAUCGUAAAGCUCUGUUGUAAGAGAAGAACGAGUGUGAGAGUGGAAAGUUCACACUGUGACGGUAUCGUACCAGAAAGGGACGGCUAACUACGU